UACGGAGGAUGCGAGCGUUAUCCGGAUUUAUUGGGUUUAAAGGGUGCGUAGGCGGGAUGCCAAGUCAGCGGUAAAAAUGCGGUGCUCAACGCCGUCGAGCCGUUGAAAUUGGCGUUCUUGAGUGGGCGAGAAGUAUGCGGAAUGCGUGGUGUAGCGGUGAAAUGCAUAGAUAUCACGCAGAACUCCGAUUGCGGAGGCAGCAUACCGGCGCCCUACUGACGCUGAGGCACGAAAGCGUGGGUAUCGAACAGG
rnacentral:rRNA from 1 species